AGGUCUCUUCUGGUUCCAGAUGAAUUUUAGGAGUGAUAUCUCUAGAUCUAUGAGAGGUGCCACCAAGCAAGAGAAUAGUGAGGUAAGAUCUGCAUUACACUGGCCACCCUCAUGGGAACAAGCAGCUAAGAGUCAUUUUCCAAAAGCCUCAAGAGCCCAGCUCUGAGCCUCUCACAGCAUGUCCGCUUUGGGAAUGAGCCACUCUGGAAGCACUCUGGGAUGCAAGGCAGGGGAAGACGAUUCAGACAGCAAACCUGAGAGGACUGUCGCCAUCAGGCCCCGCUGGGUGUGCAGUAUAUCCUGCUAUUCUAGAACCAGACCUGUUCUGUUAUUUCCUUUGAUUAAACUCCUGUUUUCUCUCAGUC